rnacentral:rRNA from 1 species
AUUGAACGCUGGCGGCAUGCCUUACACAUGCAAGUCGAACGGCAGCAUGAUCUAGCUUGCUAGAUUGAUGGCGAGUGGCGAACGGGUGAGUAAUACAUCGGAACGUGCCCUGUAGUGGGGGAUAACUAGUCGAAAGAUUAGCUAAUACCGCAUACGACCUGAGGGUGAAAGUGGGGGACCGCAAGGCCUCAUGCUAUAGGAGCGGCCGAUGUCUGAUUAGCUAGUUGGUGGGGUAAAGGCCCACCAAGGCGACGAUCAGUAGCUGGUCUGAGAGGACGAUCAGCCACACUGGGACUGAGACACGGCCCAGACUCCUACGGGAGGCAGCAGUGGGGAAUUUUGGACAAAGGGGGCAACCCUGAUCCAGCAAUGCCGCGUGUGUGAAGAAGGCCUUCGGGUUGUAAAGCACUUUUGUCCGGAAAGAAAUCGCACUUACUAAUAUUAGGUGUGGAUGACGGUACCGGAAGAAUAAGGACCGGCUAACUACGUG